AGAGAGUAGAAAAGAAGAAGUUUAUACAAAUUGGAUAAAUAAACAAACGGUAGAUAACUUUUUGUUUUUGUCGUUACUAUAUAUGUGUGUUCCGACUGCCAACGUUGUUAAAGAGGAUAGUACUAACAAUAACCUUAGCAAAAACAAAACAAAACACUUUUCUUGUUUUGAAAACGACAUUAACACGUUUCCUUUUAUGUUUCAUUAUGGUAUUUAUAAUAACAACAAUUUUAUAUUAUACGAUGGAAAAAAAAACGAAGUGUUGAACAAUAUUGAUAUGGUAAAGGUACGUACAUAUAAACAGAUAGAAAAUGAUGGAAUGGAUAAAGAUAUUAAAAAUGUUAUAAAUGUUGAACAUAAAAAUAGAAAAAAACCUGAACAAGUCAUAUCAUUUGGACAUAAUUGUAAAUUAAUUGUAUUGGAUUUGUUUUCAAAUAAUAUUUCUAUUUUUAAGGACGACCAAACGGAGGCUAUAAUAAAUGGAGUUAACAAAAAAAAAGAAACUAACAAUAAUAACAACAACAAUAAUAAAAAUAAUAAUAACAAUAAUAUAAAAGAUAAUAAUAAUAAUUAUAAUUAUAGUUACAAUUUUUAUGAUGAUAGAACUAGGAGUAGUGUCGUACUACAAUAUAUAACUGAUACAAGUAACGAAAGCCCCAAAAACCAAUCCCCACACAUUUUAACAAAGUAUGAAUAUGACCAUGUGUUUUGUAGUAGUUAUAAUAAUAAUAGGUUUUCUAUUUUUUCUUUUCUAUGGAAUAAGCGUCAUUUAAAUAAAACAUGUUUUCAUAAAGAUGAUCGUAAGAAUAGGAAAGUUGACACACACGAGUUUUGUACUACCACAGCGUUAGGCCACUGUUACGAGAGUAGUAAUAAUAGCAAUAAUAGUGGCAAUAUAAAUAAUGAUAUAUUUCAGCAACAACAUUAUCGACUGUCCCUUUCGUAUAAUAUGAAAAUAAAAAGUAGGUAUGUUUCCCCUUGUCAUUGUAAAUACGAGAUAAAAAAUGAUAAAAAUG
rnacentral:lncRNA from 1 species